rnacentral:misc_RNA from 1 species
AUAACAAUGACCCCAUUUUAUUUUGGUAGCUACUGAGUCCAGGCCAUGCAUCAGUAUGAUAUGAACCCACAAAUGAAAUUGGAAAUACACAAUACCUGCUGUAGCCAACAGCUACUCAGCGUGUCCUGUGGCUACCAGGCGGCCUGCCAGGCUUCGCCGUUGCAAGAUCAACCAGAUCCUUGAACAGGGCAUCUUCGGGUCUAGUUUGUUUGGUUGGCGCUGAUGAUGAACCUGAUCCUUGACGUGGAGGAACCUGUCGCUGAACCCGUGUGGUGUUUGUGGUGUUUCCCUCAUCGACGGACAGGCCCUGUGCCUGCUCUACCAACCGAUUGUACGCAGCUUCUGCAUCCUCGCCAUUCGGACCUUGAUGCUGCUCAAAAAACUGCUGUCUCUGAUUAUAUUUUGAAGGUGGGGGCGGUAGAGAAACAGUAGGCUGGGGUUCCCAGGGAGCUUUAGGAAGAUCCUCGGCGGCUAGUUUUGUUGCGUGGAAUGGCCCGGCAAAUAUGGGGUCAUUGGGGUGCGGUGGAGGUAAAAAUAUUUCAGAAGUUGGCGGAGAAUCUGAUAGUCUGGGUGGCGAAGGUGGGCUGACAUGGCUAACUGUU